UACGUAGGUGGCAAGCGUUGUCCGGAAUUACUGGGCGUAAAGAGCGCGCAGGCGGCUGGUCAAGUCCGAUGUGAAAGCUCCCGGCUUAACUGGGAAAUUGCAUCGGAAACUGAUCGGCUUGAAGGUGGGAGAGGGUAGUGGAAUUCCCGGUGUAGUGGUGAAAUGCGUAGAUAUCGGGAGGAACACCAGUGGCGAAGGCGGCCUUCUGGACCAAUACUGACGCUCAUGCACGAAAGCGUGGGGAGCAAACAGG
rnacentral:rRNA from 1 species